rnacentral:rRNA from 1 species
CCCUUAGACACUCUAGGCGGCACGCGCGCUACAAUGGGUGGAAGAACGUGUUACUGCCUCCGAAAGGAGGGGUGAAUCACGAAUUCUUGCCCGUGAAUGGGAUAGUUUGUUGCAAUUUUCGGACUUGAACUAGGAAUCCCUUGUAAACAUGCUCAAGAAUAGCGUGUUGAAUACGUCCCUGCCGUUUGUACACACCGCCCGUCGUUUCUUCCGACUGAUACUCAUUGUGAGUUGUAAGGACCCUUUAUUGGGAAAUUGCUGCAAAUGCUUUGUAUUGGAGGAAGAAAAAGUCGUAACA